AAGUAGGAAAUUUGAGGAGAUUCUUGGACAAAAAAUCUGGUCAGAUCUUGCUUUGUGUAUUUAUGGAUUUUGGUGGUUAUUUAAAUACAAAGCUCAUCUUCUCCUCUUUUCUCUCAUCAUACAAAAUCAAAAAAGCCUACUAUGGAUUUUUCAGUUAUAAUUUCUCUAAAUUCAUGAAAAUGGGCACGGCAGCAGAAGAAGACACGCAGUUUCAUGAUUUAGAUGUUGAUGAUAGUUUGAUUGACAGAAAGCUCAUUGAGAGGCUUCUGAUAGUUUGAUUGACAGAAAGCUCAUUGAGAGGCUUCUGAAAACAUUCUUUUCAAGGUACUUUCCUUUCUUGAUUAGUAUAGAUAGAAAUAAUUUGGAUUUUGGAGUACAAGUGGCAAAACACAAAUAAAAGGAAAAUGAAUUUUUUUAUUUUUUUAUUUUUUGUCAAUAGGGGAUUUAUUAUUGCUUUUUGAAUAUGAUUUUGAUCCAUUUAGCUUUUUUUUUCUGGGAAUUUUGCUUUUGCACAUGACAGUUACUACAGUUUAUUCUGGUAGCAAAGCUUUAGAAUUUCUUGGUUGGGAAGAAGAUGACAGAAACAACCCAAAUCAGACUUCUGUUUCUCCCAAAAAUAGUCAGGAAUUUUUUUAUUCUUUCUUUUUGUUUUGUUUUUCUUGGAUCUUCCAAGGAUAUUAAUGUCCUGUGUGUCAAGGGGUAUGAAAAUGAUAAUUACUAAUGAACAUGUAAGGUUUAGACUAAUUCUGAGGGCGUAACGAAUUUGUUCUCCUUGUUUUUGGUUAGUUAGAGCUUGAGGCGAUCACAAAAGCUCAUACAAAAUCCCAGUUUAAACUUCUCAAAGAAGUAAUUUGAUCCGUUUAAGACUCAAUUACGUGUUUUCUAAAAGUCCAUUUGUUCUUUGGUUCUUGCAGAAAGUGGAAGUAAAUCUUGUCAUUACGGAUUAUUGUAUGCCAGGAAUGACAGGCUAUUUUUUGGUUUAUUCCUGCCCACCAUUCAUUUGCCAAACAUACAUUGAUUUCCUUUCCUGGAAAAUAUGUCCAUGCCAAUUUUCCUAAUCCAGGCUGUAGUUUUGUGGGAUUGAUGUGAAUGGACACAUGGGUCGUUUUCUUGCAGAUGAUUGAGAAUCUUUGCUAAAUCUUUGAUUUGUGUAAUUAAAUAUAUCAAAAGAAAAUUUUAGCCCAUAAACGAAUGUCGAUUGAAAGAUGACUUUGCGAAAUCUUUGAUUUUGUAAUCAAAUAUAUCGAAAGAAAAUUUUAGUCCAACAUAUCAUUUUCAUCCAAAGUCAUCUUUCAAUUGACAUUCCUUCAGGGAUUGGCUGGAUGGUACUGAAAAUUAUAAAAGAAAGUAUUAAAGAAGAAACAACCACAACAACAUAUUUAGAAGACGUUGCCAAAAAGUCCAUUUUAAGGAGCUUUUAAUUACUCAUGAACACACUCUUAGCUCGAUUUAUAGUACUAACUAAAUAAUCGAAAAAACAUUAAAAUUUUGUCUUUGUAGUUUUGUCCUGCAUUUAAAUUUCAUAAUAAACAUAUGGGCUUUCUUAAUUUUGGCAGGAAUCUUCAUCUUUGAGAAAUAUACCAGCUGUUAUUAUGUCCUCUGAACAUGUUUCUUCAAGGAUCAAUGGUAAGAAAUUUUUUACAUUUUACUCAAGCCCGUGUACUAUUAUGUAUUGAGCUGUCUCAUCUAAGUAGGAUGGUAACGGGAGGGCUCCGUCAGGUAAUUUCCCAUCUUGUACCUGUCCCGGUCGUUACCCAUUUAAGGCAAGAUGGGGCCCGUGUCCCAUUUACUACCAGUUUAAUUAUUAUUUUUUAGUUUUGAUAAGUUAUCUUAUUGUCCACAUGCAUUAAAAUGAGAUAAUAAUCUAUUUAUUAAUUUUUGUACUUUUUUAUUUAUUUUUAAAAGUUAAAUUAUUUAAAUAUAUUUGAUAAACCAAGGGUUUUAUUGUUUGUCUCAUUUCUUAAAUAAUCUUAAUUGCCAUUUUUUAUUAGAACUAAUGAAAUUUCGUAGAAUUUUUCAUUUAAAGUAUUGAAUUCUUCAAAAACAAAUAAUUAUAAUAAAUGGGGCAGGACGGGGCCUUUGUUACCCGUACCCACUCCUUACCCUCCCGGGGCGAAGUCUCCCAUCCCCAACCCAAAUACUCGAUUAAGCGGGUGAUCCCCGCCCAGCCAACUCAAGACAGAUCCCCGCGAGAAUCGGAUUUGACAGAUUCUUUUGCUAUCCCUACAUCUAAGAUUUUUUCCCCUUUAUUAAAAGUCUGACACACCCAUAAUUUUCAUAAAUGAAUAGUUGCUCUGAUAUUAUAUUGAACUUCAGCAUGACUUGGCGGGAUAAUAUUUGUUGAUCGAAUGUAUGAGACAGAUGCUUAGAGGAAGGAGCAGAAGAAUUUUUGCUAAAGCCAGUGAAGAGGUUAGAUGUAAUCAAGCUUAAGAAGCACAUUAUUACAAGAAAAUGCAAUGAAAAGCCUGAGAAACAGGAUGAAAAGAAAGAAGAAUCAACAGAAGCAUCUGAAAAUAAUCAAUUACAAACACCAUGGAAAUCCAUGGAUGAAGAGAGAACAAGGCCCUAACACACUGUGCUGUCCANUUAAUCAUUGGAAAUUUAUUAAUGUUUUUUUUUUCUUUUUUCGAUUUAAAAUGUUUCUUGACCUUUCUUAGCUCUUCUCGUUCAUCUUUUUGCUGCUGCUUAAAGAUUUUAAAUAUUAACGGACUUGUACAGAGAGGAAAGGAAAAGGAGAGCCGUUCAUCACAUUAUGAUGAAGAAUCAAUCUACAUGUACAAGGGAAAAUUUUAUAAAAGUGUAACAGAUUUCACACAACAGUGGAGUGAGUAAUUUAUUUUAUGAAAUAAAAUAUUUACAUGGGGCUCACCCCAAUGGGAGUGCCCUAUAGAACUUCUUUGAAUUUAUUCCCAGUGUACAUGGAAUAAUACUACAAUGAAAUGAAUCAAAAUAUUUCCUUAAUCUCUGUCUACCUUUGGAAAUCGAGUUGACUAAUUGAG
rnacentral:lncRNA from 1 species